AUAAAUACUUUACUCCGAUUCUGAAAAACCAAAUCAUGGCUUUUUGGAACGAUAGGGUAUAAGAAGUAAUUUUUAUGCCUGCCGAUGUGCAAAGGAGUUCAUCUAUUAGAGAU
rnacentral:ncRNA from 2 species